AAAGCUUCUUGUGAAAUGACACAAGUUGCAAGGGAGCCAACUUCCAUUUUUCUGUGUAAUAACUUUAUUGUCCACAACUGUGUCAGUAGGUUAGCUUAUUUCUAUAGCUUUGCAUCCUUUUGUGUUUGCCUUAAUAUUUAAGUCCUAC